AAUAUAGCCCCGGAUAGUGGGAGUUAGAAUAUUAAAGCUUCCCAGGAUAGUGGGAGUUAGAAUAUUAAAGCUUCCCAGGAUAGUGGGAGUUAGAAUAUUAAAGCUUCCCAGGAUAGUGGGAGUCAGCUGUGAGAAUAUUACCCAGUUCACAUUUUAAGGUAAGAGACAAAAAACGUGUCUGUUAAUGUUAAAAAGAACAUCACUGGUUUACACUCACUCUAUGUCGGAAAAUGUUUCAUUGCCACCAGAGUGCAAAGUAGCCUAUUGUUGGGCUAAGUCUUGUUUAUUUAUUUUCAUGAAGAGGCUAAAACAGAAAGGCUAGCCAAUACCUAACGUACCUAAUCCGUAUAAUAACACAUGAAUAUGUAGGAUCAUAAUUAGGAAAUGCAAAAUCUUUCGUUUUUUAUUCAAAUAUGGACUGGAAUGAAAAAACAAUAUGUAGAAUAUAAAGGGUGAUAGACGUGAAAAUGUGAACUUCGGAGUGGUGUGGGCAAUCAAUUUAAUAGGUGCACACACCAAUAAAGCUUUCCCAUUUGUUUGACAUUGUCAAGACUACUGCUGUUUAGGCAUGCGGUUGCGCUUGCAGGGUUUGGUGUCAAGGUGUUUGUGAGUGAGUGUGAGCGGCCUGUGCAGAUCAAAUUUUGCUGCAUAUUUUGGAAAAUGAGCAUAAGUUCAUACACUUACUACUUCCACAUUUCUAGGAUAUUAGUAGUCCAUGAUGGGUGUUAGUAGUCCACGAGGGGUGUUAGUAGUCCAUGAUGGGUAUUAGUAGUCCACGAUGGGUAUUAGUAGUCCACGAUGGAUAUUAGUAGUCCACGAGGGGUGCUAGUAGUCCACGAGGGGUGUUAGUAGUCCACGAUGGGUAUUAGUAGUCCACGAGGGGUGUUAGUAGUCCACGAGGGGUGUUAGUAGUCCAUGAUGGGUAUUACUAGUCCACGAGGGGUGCUAGUAGUCCACGAGGGGUGUUAGUAGUCCACGAGGGGUGCUAGUAGUCCACGAGGGGUAUUAGUAGUCCAUGAUGGGUAUUAGUAGUCCACGAGGGGUGCUAGUAGUCAUUGAUGGAUAUUAGUAGUCCACGAUGGGUGUUAGUAGUCCACGAGGGGUGUUAGUAGUCCAUGAUGGGUAUUAGUAGUCCACGAGGGGUAUUAGUAGUCCACGAGGGGUGUUAGUAGUCCACGAGGGGUGUUAGUAGUCCAUGAUGGGUGUUAGUAGUCCACGAUGGGUAUUAGUAGUCCACGAUGGAUAUUGGUAGUCCAUGAGGGGUGCUAGUAGUCCACGAUGGAUAUUAGUAGUCCACGAGGGGUGCUAGUAGUCCACGAGGGGUGUUAGUAGUCCAUGAUGGGUAUUAGUAGUCCACGAGGGGUGCUAGUAGUCCACGAGGGGUGUUAGUAGUCCACGAGGGGUGUUAGUAGUCCACGAGGGGUGUUAGUAGUCCACAAGGGGUGUUAGUAGUCCACGAGGGGUGCUAGUAGUCCACGAGGGGUGUUAGUAGUCCACGAGGGGUGUUAGUAGUCCACGAGGGGUGUUAGUAGUCCACGAGGGGUGUUAGUAGUCCACGAUGGAUAUUAGUAGUCCAUGAUGGGUAUUAGUAGUCCACGAGGGGUGCUAGUAGUCCAUGAUGGGUAUUAGUAGUCCACGAGGGGUGUUAGUAGUCCAUGAUGGGUGCUAGUAGUCCAUGAUGGGUAUUAGUAGUCCAUGAUGGGUGUUAGUAGCCCACGAUGGAUGUUAGUAGUCCACGAGGGGUGUUAGUAGUCCACGAGGGGUGCUAGUAGUCCAUGAUGGGUAUUAGUAGUCCACGAGGGGUGUUAGUAGUCCACGAGGGGUUCCACGAGGGGUGUUAGUAGUCCACGAGGGGUGUUAGUAGUCCACGAGGGGUGUUAGUAGUCCAUGAUGGAUAUUAGUAGUCCACGAGGGGUGUUAGUAGUCCACAAGGGGUGCUAGUAGUCCAUGAUGGACAUGAACCCAGCUAACAAUUCUAGGGAGAAAUAACGUUUUUAUAAUGUUCCCCGCAAUGUUCCCCUUUUGUUUGAGUGUCCAGUUCUCUGUUAGUUAGGGGAAAAUUCUAUCUAUGUUAACAGAAACCUUCUGAGAACCUUUAUAGAAUGUUUUGGUGUUACAAUUUGACAUGAACAUUCCCUUAAUGUAAAACAGAACUUAUCAAGAACAUGGUUACAAUGUUCUCAGAAUGUACAAUAUUUAUGUUCUAGAAACGUUUCAUGUGUAUCAGUUGUCGCCAUUCCCAAAGAAAUGUCUCCCCCCCAAAAAAUAAAAUUCAUUACACAUCACACCUUGUUACUGUUGCCACGCCCAUCAAGGCCCUGAUUGGCAAAGCACUGACGCAUUCAUAGCUCUUUGCCUGUCGGUUAGCGACACUCACACACAGUUCUUUUGACAUACAGUAUUUUCAACUGACAUAUUCGACAUACAUGAUUACAUUCUGCAUUUUUAUUUAUCCGAAAAUGAUUGUUCAACAUGUCCUCUCCUGGGAUUUGAAAUCACAACUGCUUGGUUUGCAGGACUCCGAUGUUCCUGCUACGCCACCAUGUCUGUGUAAGUUGUCAGUUCAUUUGACUGUAAUUACGCUGUGUGAUUAAGAACUUCCUGGACAUUGUGGAGAUGCAUAAUAUAUCUUAUUUACUUUUUAUUUCGAGAAUCAGCUUUAAUUUAAGGCCACUUGAAGUGCAAAUGCCGAACAAUUGUGGUAAAUCUCUGGUAAUGCUCCAAAGCCUCUUGGGACAGCUUUAUGUAGAGGCCCUAACAGCUUUAUGUAGAGGCCCUAACAGCUUUAUGUAGAGGCCCUAACAGCUUUAUGUAGAGACCCUAACAGCUUUAUGUAGAGGCCCUAACAGCUUUAUGUAGAGGCCCUAACAGCUUUAUGUAGAGGCCCUAACAGCUUUAUGUAGAGGCCCUAACAGCUUAAUGUAGAGGCCCUAACAGCUUUAUGUAGAGGCCCUAACAGCUUUAUGUAGAGGCCCUAACAGCUUUAUGUAGAGGCCCUAACAGCUUUAUGUAGAGGCCCUAACAGCUUUAUGUAGAGGCCCUAACAGCUUUAUGUAGAGACCCUAACAGCUUUAUGUAGAGGCCCUAACAGCUUUAUGUAGAGGCCCUAAAAGCUUUAUGUAGAGGCCCUAACAGCUUUAUGUAGAGGCCCUAACAGUUUUAUGUAGAGGCCCUAACAGCUUUAUGUAGAGGCCCUAACAGCUUUAUGUAGAGGCCCUAACAGCUUAAUGUAGAGGCCCUAACAGCUUUAUGUAGAGGCCCUAACAGCUUUAUGUAGAGGCCCUAACAGUUUGUCACCAUUAUAGUGUAAUUCAUGUAUUGUUUAGUGUUGUGUUGUGUAGUGGCUUUGCUGGCAUGCAUCUAAAACAUUUUUGGGGAGUUUGCCCCACCAAGAUUUACACUGAUUUAGCAUGUAUAUUAAACUAUGGUGAAUCGCUGUAUGGUAAUGUUUCAAUGCUGUAUGUCCCAUCAGUGCCACGUCUGUUUGGAGCCCCACCUGUUUAGCAAAACAAUAUAUAUGUUUUGCCUUUUUUUUAAUGUUAUUUUAUCACAUAUCAGUUUGCAAACAAUGUACAAAAAAAAAAGUUAAUAAAGAC
rnacentral:lncRNA from 1 species